rnacentral:rRNA from 1 species
UACGUAGGGGGCAAGCGUUGUCCGGAAUUAUUGGGCGUAAAGCGCGCGCAGGUGGUGGAUUAAGUUGUGGGUAAAAGGCAAUGGCUCAACCAUUGUAAGCCUGCAAAACUGGUUCACUUUGAGUGCAGGAGAGGGGAGUGGAAUUCCCGGUGUAGCGGUGGAAUGCGUAGAGAUCGGGAGGAACACCAGUGGCGAAGGCGACUCUCUGGCCUGUAACUGACACUGAGGCGCGAAAGCGUGGGGAGCGAACAGG